UGCACAUUCAUGUCCCAUAGCACCCCAUUCCCUAGCCUUCCCCAGACCCAUUCCUAGUCCGUCUUGAAGAGAACACUGGGGGUGGAAAGGCUGCAGGAGAAAAGGCAGGCCCCACAAUUUCCACCACCGGGCUUUGAGCUGCUUCCUCCCUUGGCCUAGGCAGAGAACUGGCCCGUACCUGCCCACCAGAAAACAGGGGAAUUACUCAAGUGCAAGAUUAAAGGCAAUAAUGAGCAAUCAGACUGAACUGGAAUGACAGUAGGGGAAGGUGAAGAGACUUUGGGAAAAGGAAGAGCACUGAAGUCAGACCUGGCACAGCCUUUUAUGAGCUAUGUAAUCUCAGGUACAGGACUACCAAAUACCCUGUGUGCCUUCUUGCUCACGCUCAGCCUCCACCAGGAGUGCCAUCCUAAGACCCUUCCUGUUGGCCUAACUCAUCCUUUAACCAGCUAACAGGGGAUCUCCUGCAGGAACCUUCCCUGGCACCUCACCCCAGGGCCAAGCACUCUUCCUCUAUGCUCCAGUGGCCUCCUGAAAACACCUCCACACAGC